UUUGGGGUCCAUAUAUGCAACAUG
rnacentral:siRNA from 1 species